GAGAAUUGCUUGAGCCUGGGAGGUGGAGGUUGCAGUGAGCUGAGAUCACGCCACUGCACUCCAGCCUGGGCAACAGAGUGAAACCCUGUCUC
rnacentral:miRNA from 1 species